rnacentral:tRNA from 1 species
GACUGUGUGGUCUAAUGGAUAAGGAGUCUAACUUUGGAUCAGAAAAUUGAGGGGUUGAGUCCCUUCACAGUUG